UACGUAGGGGGCAAGCGUUGUCCGGAAUCAUUGGGCGUAAAGAGCGUGUAGGCGGCCUGGUAGGUCAGCUGUGAAAACUCGAGGCUCAACCUCGAGACGUCGGUUGAAACCACCUGGCUAGAGUCCGGAAGAGGAGAGUGGAAUUCCCGGUGUAGCGGUGAAAUGCGCAGAUAUCGGGAAGAACACCCGUGGCGAAGGCGGCUCUCUGGGACGGUACUGACGCUGAGACGCGAAAGCGUGGGGAGCGAACAGG
rnacentral:rRNA from 1 species